ensembl:snRNA U1 U1 spliceosomal RNA
AUAUUUACUUGGCAGGGGAGAUACCAUGAUCAAGAAGGCGGUUCACCCAGGGUGAGGCUCGUCCAUUGCAGUCCGGCCGUACUGACUAGGGCUGCACGAUGUACGAAUCCACGAUAGUCACAUUGCAGGCUGUCGUA